UAGAUGCGAGAGUAGAGCAUAUCAAUAAGCGGAGGAAAAGGAACUAACAAGGAUUCCCUUAGUAACGGCGAGUGAAGCGGGAAGAGCUCAAAUUUGAAAUCUUCAAGGUUUUACCUUGACGAAUUGUAGUUUAAAGAAGUGUUUUCUGUUGAAGUUUUGGUAAAAGUUCUUUGGAAUAGGACAUCAUAGAGGGUGAGAAUCCCGUAUUUGGUCAUUCCUCCUAGCGUUGUGAUACACUUUCAACGAGUCGGAUUGUUUGGGAAUGCAGUCCAAAAUGGGUGGUAAAUUUCAUCUAAAGCUAAAUAUUGGCGAGAGACCGAUAGCGAACAAGUACCGUGAGGGAAAGAUGAAAAGAACUUUGAAAAGAGAGUUAAACAGUACGUGAAAUUGUCAAAAGGGAAGCGUUUGACACCAGUGUUGUUUUUCCGAAAAUCAAUUACAAAUGAUUUAUUUUGAGAGUGUAUGACUUCAUCGGCUUUCUGCCUUCGUUUAUGGAAUCUUUCUUGAUGCACUUUUCGGUUAACAAGUCAACAUCAAUUUCUUUUGUUGUAAAAGGGUAUGAGGAAGGUGGCUUUCAUUUCGGGUAAAGUGUUUAUAGCCUUGUACCUCUGCAGUCGGAGAGAUUGAGGUCUGCAGCGUAGAUCCUUCGGGGUUAGAUACAGUUUGUGCUAAGUUAUAGCUUUGUCAUAGACAACAUUGUUGACUAUGUUUAGUCUUGUAGCUUACUCGCAUGAUAGCUAUUUUACCUACGCUUAGGAUGUUGAUAGUCACAGCGUGUAC
rnacentral:rRNA from 1 species